rnacentral:rRNA from 1 species
UAUUUAUUAGAUAAAAAACCAACGCCCUUCGGGGCUCCUUGGUGAAUCAUAAUAACUUAACGAAUCGCAUGGCCUUGCGCCGGCGAUGGUUCAUUCAAAUUUCUGCCCUAUCAACUUUCGAUGGUAGGAUAGUGGCCUACCAUGGUGGCAACGGGUAACGGGGAAUUAGGGUUCGAUUCCGGAGAGGGAGCCUGAGAAACGGCUACCACAUCCAAGGAAGGCAGCAGGCGCGCAAAUUACCCAAUCCCGAUACGGGGAGGUAGUGACAAUAAAUACUGAUACGGGGCUCUUUUGGGUCUCGUAAUUGGAAUGAGAACAAUUUAAAUCCCUUAACGAGGAACAAUUGGAGGGCAAGUCUGGUGCCAGCAGCCGCGGUAAUUCCAGCUCCAAUAGCGUAUAUUAAAGUUGUUGCAGUUAAAAAGCUCGUAGUUGAACCUUGGGUCUGGCUGGCCGGUCCGCCUCACCGCGAGUACUGGUCCGGCUGGACCUUUCCUUCUGGGGAACCUCAUGGCCUUCACUGGCUGUGGGGGGAACCAGGACCUUUACUGUGAAAAAAUUAGAGUGUUCAAAGCAGGC